rnacentral:rRNA from 1 species
UCUGGGAAACUGCCUGAUGGAGGGGGAUAACUACUGGAAACGGUAGCUAAUACCGCAUAACGUCUUCGGACCAAAGUGGGGGACCUUCGGGCCUCAUGCCAUCAGAUGUGCCCAGAUGGGAUUAGCUAGUAGGUGGGGUAACGGCUCACCUAGGCGACGAUCCCUAGCUGGUCUGAGAGGAUGACCAGCCACACUGGAACUGAGACACGGUCCAGACUCCUACGGGAGGCAGCAGUGGGGAAUAUUGCACAAUGGGCGCAAGCCUGAUGCAGCCAUGCCGCGUGUAUGAAGAAGGCCUUCGGGUUGUAAAGUACUUUCAGCGGGGAGGAAGGUGUUGUGGUUAAUAACCACAGCAAUUGACGUUACCCGCAGAAGAAGCACCGGCUAACUCCGUGCCAGCAGCCGCGGUAAUACGGAGGGUGCAAGCGUUAAUCGGAAUUACUGGGCGUAAAGCGCACGCAGGCGGUUGAUUAAGUCAGAUGUGAAAUCCCCGGGCUCAACCUGGGAACUGCAUUUGAAACUGGUCAGCUUGAGUCUCGUAGAGGGGGGUAGAAUUCCAGGUGUAGCGGUGAAAUGCGUAGAGAUCUGGAGGAAUACCGGUGGCGAAGGCGGCCCCCUGGACGAAGACUGA